rnacentral:rRNA from 1 species
UGAACCUGCGGAGGGAUCAUUACAAGUGACCCCGGUCUUACCACCGGGAUGUUCAUAACCCUUUGUUGUCCGACUCUGUUGCCUCCGGGGCGACCCUGCCUUCGGGCGGGGGCUCCGGGUGGACACUUCAAACUCUUGCGUAACUUUGCAGUCUGAGUAAACUUAAUUAAUAAAUUAAAACUUUUAACAACGGAUCUCUUGGUUCUGGCAUCGAUGAAGAACGCAGCGAAAUGCGAUAAGUAAUGUGAAUUGCAGAAUUCAGUGAAUCAUCGAAUCUUUGAACGCACAUUGCGCCCCCUGGUAUUCCGGGGGGCAUGCCUGUUCGAGCGUCAUUUCACCACUCAAGCCUCGCUUGGUAUUGGGCAACGCGGUCCGCCGCGUGCCUCAAAUCGACCGGCUGGGUCUUCUGUCCCCUAAGCGUUGUGGAAACUAUUCGCUAAAGGGUGUUCGGGAGGCUACGCCGUAAAACAACCCCAUUUCUAAGGUUGACCUCGG